rnacentral:rRNA from 1 species
GAUGAACGCUGGCGGCGUGCCUAAUACAUGCAAGUCGAGCGAACAGACGAGGAGCUUGCUCCUCUGACGUUAGCGGCGGACGGGUGAGUAACACGUGGAUAACCUACCUAUAAGACUGGGAUAACUUCGGGAAACCGGAGCUAAUACCGGAUAAUAUAUUGAACCGCAUGGUUCAAUAGUGAAAGACGGUUUUGCUGUCACUUAUUGAUGGAUCCGCGCCGCAUUAGCUAGUUGGUAAGGUAACGGCUUACCAAGGCGACGAUGCGUAGCCGACCUGAAAGGGUGAUCGGCCACACUGGAACUGAGACACGGUCCAGACUCCUACGGGAGGCAGCAGUAGGGAAUCUUCCACAAUGGGCGAAAGCCUGACGGAGCAACGCCGCGUGAGUGAUGAAGGUCUUCGGAUCCUAAAACUCUGUUAUUAGGGAAGAACAAAUGUGUAAGUAACUAUGCACGUCUUGACGGUACCUAAUCAGAAAGCCACGCCUAACUACGUG